AAUAUUGGAUAAUUGGGGCAACCCUGAUCCAGCCAUGGCGCGUGUGUGAAGAAGGUCUUCGGAGUUUAUAGCACUCUAAGUUGGGGGGAUGGGGUUUAGGUUAAUACCCUGAAGUUUUGACGUUACCAACAGAGUAAGCGCCGACUAACUCUCUGCAACCAGCCUCGGUAAUACAGAGGGUGCAAGCGUUAAUCGGAAUUACUUGGCGUAAAGCGCGCGUAGGUGGUUCAGUAAGAUGGAUGUGAAAUACCCGGGCUUAACCUGGGAACUGCUUUCAUAACUGCUGAGCUAGAGUACGGUAGAGGGUAGUGGAAUUUCCUGUGUAGCGGUGAAAUGCGUAGAUAUAGGAAGGAACACCAGUGGCGAAGGCGACUACCUGGACUGAUACUGACACUGAGGUGCGAAAGCGUGGGGAGCAAAC
rnacentral:rRNA from 1 species